rnacentral:rRNA from 1 species
UCUGCUUAACACAUGCAAGUCGAACGCAACCUUCGGGUUGAGUGGCGGACGGGUGAGUAACGCGUGAGAAUCUGCCUUGGGGUCGGGGACAACCACUGGAAACGGUGGCUAAUACCGGAUAAGCCUUUGGGUAAAAAAUUUAUUGCCCCAAGAGGAGCUCGCGUCUGAUUAGCUAGUUGGUGAGGUAAGAGCUCACCAAGGCAGCGAUCAGUAGCUGGUCUGAGAGGACGAUCAGCCACACUGGGACUGAGACACGGCCCAGACUCCUACGGGAGGCAGCAGUGGGGAAUUUUCCGCAAUGGGCGAAAGCCUGACGGAGCAAGACCGCGUGAGGGAGGAAGGCUCUUGGGUUGUAAACCUCUUUUCUCAGGGAAGAAGCUCUGACGGUACCUGAGGAAUCAGCCUCGGCUAACUCCGUGCCAGCAGCCGCGGUAAUACGGAGGAGGCAAGCGUUAUCCGGAAUUAUUGGGCGUAAAGCGUCCGCAGGUGGCGAUUCAAGUCUGCUGUCAAAGCACGGGGCUUAACUCCGUUAAGGCAGUGGAAACUGAAUAGCUAGAGUGCCGUAGGGGUAGAGGGAAUUCCCGGUGUAGCGGUGGAAUGCGUAGAGAUCGGGAAGAACAUCGGUGGCGAAAGCGCUCUACUGGACGGCAACUGACACUCAGGGACGAAAGCUAGGGGAGCGAAUGGGAUUAGAUACCCCAGUAGUCCUAGCUGUAAACGAUGGAUACUAGGUGUAGCUUGUAUCGACCCGAGCUGUGCCGAAGCUAACGCGUUAA